UGCCCAAUGAUUUUUUAAUGGCCGCGGUAUUUUGACCGUGCAAAGGUAGCAUAAUCAUUUGUCUUUUAAUUGGAGGCUAGUAUGAAUGGUUGGACGAGAAAAGUUCUUUCUUUAUAAUUAAUUUUGAAUUUAAUUUUUUAGUCAAAAAGCUAAAAUUUUUUUGUGGGACGAGAAGACCCUAUAGAAUUUUAUAAUUAUUAUUUUAUAUAAUAUAUAGUUUAUUUUAUUUAUAUAUUAUAUAUAUUAUUUUGUUGGGGCGACAAGAAAAUUUUUUUAACUUUUCUAUUUAUAGUUCAUUGAUAUAUGUUUUUAUGAUCUUAUAUUAUGGAUAAUUAGAUUAAAUUACCUUAGGGAUAACAGCGUUAUUUAAUCGGAGAGUUCUUAUUGAUGAUUAAGU
rnacentral:rRNA from 1 species